GCCUGAUUAGCUCAGCUGGUUAGAGCGUCGUACUAAUAUCUGAAGAGUCAGAUAUGAAGUCAUGCGAAGGUCAACAGUUCAAUCCUGUUAUUGGGCA